CAACAUAGGUAGUAAACGAGUUGACAGCUGAAGUGCCAGCAGGAGAUGAUGCAAUAGUUGAAUAGUGGCCAGGGGCCAAGCGUCCCAGAGUCAGUCACAUGUACGGUAUGUGUAUGUCUCCGGGACCAAGCGGUGAAUGCACUUGGAUGCAGCUGGUGGCUCGUUCCUGCAGUGAAGCUCCUUUAAGUCGGUAGAGGCGUGAACGGGUGUUGGACCAUGCCCUAUGCCAGUGACGGC